rnacentral:misc_RNA from 1 species
GAUGAAGAACGUAGCGAAAUGCGAUAAGUAAUGCGAAUUGCAGAAUUCCGUGAGUCAUCGAAUCUUUGAACGCACAUUGCGCCCUUUGGUAUUCCUUAGGGCAUGCCUGUUCGAGCGUCAUUUAAACCUUCAAGCUAAGCUUGGUGUUGGGUGACUGUCCGCUUCACGGCGGACUCGCCUCAAAAUUAUUGGCGGCCGGUACAUUGGCUUCGAGCGCAGCAGAAACGCGAACUCGGGCCCGUCGUAUUGGCUCCCAGAAGCUAUCUUCACAAUUUUGACCUCGGAUCAGGUAGGGAUACCCGCUGAACUUAAGCAUAUCAAUAAGCGGAGGA